UAGGGAAUCUUCGGCAAUGGACGAAAGUCUGACCGAGCAACGCCGCGUGAGUGAAGAAGGUUUUCGGAUCGUAAAACUCUGUUGUUAGAGAAGAACAAGGACGUUAGUAACUGAACGUCCCCUGACGGUAUCUAACCAGAAAGCCACGGCUAACUACGUGCCAGCAGCCGCGGUAAUACGUAGGUGGCAAGCGUUGUCCGGAUUUAUUGGGCGUAAAGCGAGCGCAGGCGGUUUCUUAAGUAUGAUGUGAAAGCCCCCGGCUCAACCGGGGAGGGUCAUUGGAAACUGGGGGACUUGAGUGCAGAAGAGGAGAGUGGAAUUACAUGUGUAGCGGUGAAAUGCGUAGAUAUAUGGGGGAACACCAGUAGCGAAGGCGGCUCUCUGGUCUGUAACUGACGCUGAGGCUAGAAAGCGUGGGGAGCAAACAGG
rnacentral:rRNA from 1 species